GGGUGACUGCGUACCUUUUGUAUAAUGGGUCAGCGACUUAUAUUCUGUAGCAAGGUUAACCGAAUAGGGGAGCCGCAGGGAAACCGAGUCUUAACUGGGCGUUAAGUUGCAGGGUAUAGACCCGAAACCCGGUGAUCUAGCCAUGGGCAGGUUGAAGGUUGGGUAACACUAACUGGAGGACCGAACCGACUAAUGUUGAAAAAUUAGCGGAUGACUUGUGGCUGGGGGUGAAAGGCCAAUCAAACCGGGAGAUAGCUGGUUCUCCCCGAAAGCUAUUUAGGUAGCGCCUCGUGAACUCAUCUUCGGGGGUAGAGCACUGUUUCGGCUAGGGGGUCAUCCCGACUUACCAACCCGAUGCAAACUACGAAUACCGAAGAAUGUUAUCACGGGAGACACACGGCGGGUGCUAACGUCCGUCGUGAAGAGGGAAACAACCCAGACCGCCAGCUAAGGUCCCAAAGUCAUGGUUAAGUGGGAAACGAUGUGGGAAGGCCCAGACAGCCAGGAUGUUGGCUUAGAAGCAGCCAUCAUUUAAAGAAAGCGUAAUAGCUCACUGGUCGAGUCGGCCUGCGCGGAAGAUGUAACGGGGCUAAACCAUGCACCGAAGCUGCGGCAGCGACACUAUGUGUUGUUGGGUAGGGGAGCGUUCUGUAAGCCGUUGAAGGUGGCCUGUGAGGGUUGCUGGAGGUAUCAGAAGUGCGAAUGCUGACAUAAGUAACGAUAAUGCGGGUGAAAAACCCGCACGCCGGAAGACCAAGGGUUCCUGUCCAACGUUAAUCGGGGCAGGGUGAGUCGACCCCUAAGGCGAGGCCGAAAGGCGUAGUCGAUGGGAAACAGGUUAAUAUUCCUGUACUUGGUGUUACUGCGAAGGGGGGACGGAGAAGGCUAUGUUGGCCGGGCGACGGUUGUCCCGGUUUAAGCAUGUAGGCGGAUGUUCCAGGUAAAUCCGGAACGUUAUUAACGCUGAGGUGUGAUGACGAGGCACUACGGUGCUGAAGUGACAAAUGCCCUGCUUCCAGGAAAAGCCUCUAAGCAUCAGGUAACAUCAAAUCGUACCCCAAACCGACACAGGUGGUCAGGUAGAGAAUACCAAGGCGCUUGAGAGAACUCGGGUGAAGGAACUAGGCAAAAUGGUGCCGUAACUUCGGGAGAAGGCACGCUGAUGGUAAGUGAAGUGACUUGCUCAUGGAGCUGAAAUCAGUCGAAGAUACCAGCUGGCUGCAACUGUUUAUUAAAAACACAGCACUGUGCAAACACGAAAGUGGACGUAUACGGUGUGACGCCUGCCCGGUGCCGGAAGGUUAAUUGAUGGGGUUAUCCUCACGGAGAAGCUCUUGAUCGAAGCCCCGGUAAACGGCGGCCGUAACUAUAACGGUCCUAAGGUAGCGAAAUUCCUUGUCGGGUAAGUUCCGACCUGCACGAAUGGCGUAAUGAUGGCCAGGCUGUCUCCACCCGAGACUCAGUGAAAUUGAACUCGCUGUGAAGAUGCAGUGUACCCGCGGCAAGACGGAAAGACCCCGUGAACCUUUACUAUAGCUUGACACUGAACACUGGUCCUUGAUGUGUAGGAUAGGUGGGAGGCUUUGAAGUGUGGACGCCAGUCUGCAUGGAGCCGUCCUUGAAAUACCACCCUUUAAUGGCUGGUGUUCUAACGUGGGCCCGUGAUCCGGGUUGCGGACAGUGUCUGGUGGGUAGUUUGACUGGGGCGGUCUCCUCCUAAAGAGUAACGGAGGAGCACGAAGGUCAGCUAAUCCUGGUCGGACAUCAGGAGGUUAGUGCAAUGGCAUAAGCUGGCUUGACUGCGAGCGUGACGGCGCGAGCAGGUGCGAAAGCAGGUCAUAGUGAUCCGGUGGUUCUGAAUGGAAGGGCCAUCGCUCAACGGAUAAAAGGUACUCCGGGGAUAACAGGCUGAUACCGCCCAAGAGUUCAUAUCGACGGCGGUGUUUGGCACCUCGAUGUCGGCUCAUCACAUCCUGGGGCUGAAGUAGGUCCCAAGGGUAUGGCUGUUCGCCAUUUAAAGUGGUACGCGAGCUGGGUUUAGAACGUCGUGAGACAGUUCGGUCCCUAUCUGCCGUGGGCGCUGGAGAAUUGAGGGGGGCUGCUCCUAGUACGAGAGGACCGGAGUGGACGCAUCACUGGUGUUCGGGUUGUCAUGCCAAUGGCAUUGCCCGGUAGCUAAAUGCGGAAGAGAUAAGUGCUGAAAGCAUCUAAGCACGAAACUUGCCCCGAGAUGAGUUCUCCCUGACUCCUUGAGAGUCCUGAAGGAACGUUGAAGACGACGACGUUGAUAGGCCGGGUGUGUAAGCGCAGCGAUGCGUUGAGCUAACCGGUACUAAUGAACCGUGAGGCUUAACCUUACAACGCCGAAG
rnacentral:rRNA from 1 species